rnacentral:rRNA from 1 species
UACGGAGGGGGCUAGCGUUGUUCGGAAUUACUGGGCGUAAAGCGCACGUAGGCGGCUUUGUAAGUUAGAGGUGAAAGCCCGGGGCUCAACUCCGGAAUUGCCUUUAAGACUGCAUCGCUCGAAUUGUGGAGAGGUAAGUGGAAUUCCGAGUGUAGAGGUGAAAUUCGUAGAUAUUCGGAAGAACACCAGUGGCGAAGGCGACUCACUGGACACGUAUUGACGCUGAGGUGCGAAAGCGUGGGGAGCAAACAGG